AUGGCCUUCUCGCGCCUUCUCCCCUCCCGCCGCCUCCUCUCCGCCCUCCUCCACACCCCGACCCCGAUCCCCGCCGCGCGCGCCACCGGCCCCGCCGCCGCGACCACCUCCCCGUUCGCCCACACCCUCCAGCCCGCGCGCUUCUUCUCCGCGACGAGGCGGGCCGGGCCGGGCGCCCCGCGGCAGCGCGCGGCGGACAUCGGCGCGCGGGCGCGGCAGCUGCAGAGCCGGCGCCUCUGGACCUACGCGCUCACCUUCGGCUGCGCGGCCGGGUUCGUGGUCACCGUGCUCGCCACGUUCCAGGACCAGCUCGUCUUCUACCUCACCCCCACCGACGCGCUCGCGCGCUUCGCCACCGACCCCUCCAAGACCCGCUGCCGCCUCGGCGGGCUCGUCCUCGAGGGCUCCGUCGCCCACCCCUCCUCCUCCAACUCCGAGAUCGAGUUCGUCGUCACCGACCUCGUCACCGAUGUCCUCGUCCGCUACGAGGGCGCCCUCCCCGACCUCUUCCGCGAGGGCCACUCCGUCGUCGUCGAGGGGUUCCUCAAGCCACUGACCGACGACCUCCGCCGCGACUGGGCAGGGAGAAAGGUCUCCGAUAAGGCGCUGGAGGGCCAGUGCUUCUUGCGCGGCACGGAGGUGCUCGCCAAGCACGACGAGAAGUACAUGCCCAAGGAGGUCGGCGAGGCCAUCGAGCGCAACAAGAAGCAGAUCGAGGCGGAUGCGGCCGCCGCCGCCGCCGAGGAGAACGCGGCGGUUGCGGUGGAUGGAGCCAAAGCAAACUCGUAA
rnacentral:rRNA from 1 species